UGAGGUAGUAAAGCAAGGCAGAAUGCCAGCAUUUUCUUUCAGUCAGUGUUUGUACCUUUUAAAACAUUUUGCCAAAUCAAAGAGAUGAAUUACUUCACUGUUUCUGGAGUCUGAUGCAACCCUUUUCACUCACUCAGGCUGCAGUCAGCUGGUAUCAUUUUGCAGCCUGGGAGAGCUGUGAUUUACAGUCUGGGGGAUAUGAAUUCAGCAGUUGGAUCACAAGUUUUGGAACUUUCAAAGCACAACAUUGGACGUCUGUUCUUUCAGGAUGCGUUUUGGCAGAUGGCAGUAGCUGAGGAAAUCCACCCAGUCUUCUACCUCCAUUAAGUAUUGGCUGGAGCAUUUCAAGGAAUUGAUAAAAACAGAAGAGGAGUGGAGUACCACACCUAGAACACUUGAGUGCCAGCUCAUGGUGCCCACAAAGAUGGGAUCACGUGGAUGCGAGCAGAAGGAGAUGGGCAGGAAUCACCCCUCUCAGCCACCACGAGCUGACAGGCAGGCUUCACUAUCUCAGAACACUACACCCAAGAAGACCUUCUGAGACUGAAUUACUGCUUUUGUCAGCUUGUCUGCACAUAACAUUAUGUUACCUCUCUUUUCUGAAAAAAUGAACAAAUUUAAAGUAGAAGUUGGAAUGUCAAGAUAUUAAAGUGUGCUCUGAAUACAUAAAAUAGUUGAUUUACUAUAAUCUUUAUUCUAGAUUGAAGAGGUAUUAGAUAGAUCUCACUUUGUUGAACUGUUUUGUUUUGUUGUCUUUGAUGUAUGAAAAAGCUUUUCUUGUACUGCUGAAUGACCAGAAAAGGCAAUGCAGAAAAAAAAAAAUCAGUGUGUCCAUUUGGAGCAGUAUCACAAUGGCAGUAAAACAAAUGGGCUAAUAAGCAGGCUAAUAGCUGUAGACUGGUGUUGUAAUUCUUUUCCUUAUGAUCUCUCUACCGUUUGCUGAUAUUUCCAUUAUAAAGAAACAUGCAUAUUUUCCUUCUGUGAGGAAAUACGUAACAUCAAUAAUAAAGGUUCUUUCUAUUUCAUAUUAAAA